GGGAGACCUGGGGACAUGACACUAGGGGACACUGGGAGACAUGGGGCACUGAGACACUGAUACAUAGGAACACUGAGACCUGGAGUAAUCGACACACGGGGGCACUGAGUCAUGAGGGCACUGGGAGGAAUCCAUCUAUACAGCAGAAUCAAACUAAGUAGUUUUUUUGGUGAUUUUACAGCAUUUUCUCUUAUGUCACUCCUUGUGAUUUACAUCAUGUGAUGUCAUCCAUACAUAUUUAAUUAUGCAAAUUAGUAAGGUUGGUAUGUUUUUCCAAGAAAGGUGGCAGCCCUAACUACUUUUCACAUACUCUUACUUAAGUAUGGAAACUUAAGAGGGAUGUAUGGGAACAAAACUUGUGUGGACUGGCU